GGUCCAAACUUGAAGUAGAGUACAAGUAUGGUCAGAUGAUCGUACUAUUAGACUCUACUUCAAAUUUGGGUCC
rnacentral:pre_miRNA from 1 species